rnacentral:rRNA from 1 species
AGAGUUUGAUCCUGGCUCAGGAUGAACGCUAGCGGCAGGCUUAACACAUGCAAGUCGAGGGGUAACAGGAACUUCGGUUCGCUGACGACCGGCGCACGGGUGAGUAACGCGUAUGCAACCUACCUACAGUCUGGGGCAUAGCCCGGAGAAAUUCGGAUUAAUACCCCAUAAUAUUUUAAAGAGGCAUCUCUUUAAUCUUAAAGCUUCGGCGGCUAUAGAUGGGCAUGCGUGCCAUUAGUUUGUUGGUGAGGUAACGGCUCACCAAGACAGCGAUGGCUACGGGGUCUAAAAGGAUGAUCCCGCACACUGGUACUGAGACACGGACCAGACUCCUACGGGAGGCAGCAGUGAGGAAUAUUGGGCAAUGGACGAAAGUCUGACCCGGCCAUGCCGCGUGCAGGAUGACGGCCCUACGGGUUGUAAACUGCUUUUAUGCUCCAAGAAACCUACUUACGUGUAAGUAGCUGACGGUAGAGCAUGAAUAAGCAUCGGCUAACUCCGUGCCAGCAGCCGCGGUAAUACGGAGGAUGCAAGCGUUAUCCGGAUUUAUUAGGUUUAAAGGGUGUGUAGGCGGAUUAGUAAGUCAGUGGUGAAAUCCUGCGGCUCAACCGUAGAACUGCCAUUGAUACUAUUAGUCUAGAGUAUAGUUGAGGUAGGCGGAAUGUGUAAUGUAGCGGUGAAAUGCAUAGAUAUUACACAGAACACCGAUUGCGUAGGCAGCUUACUAAGCUAUUACUGACGCUGAUGCACGAAAGCGUGGGGAGCAAACAGGAUUAGAUACCCUGGUAGUCCACGCCGUAAACUAUGAUCACUCGCUGUUGGCAAUACAUCGUCAGCGGCUGAGCGAAAGCAUUAAGUGAUCCACCUGGGGAGUACGUCGGCAACGAUGAAACUCAAAGGAAUUGACGGGGGCCCGCACAAGCGGAGGAACAUGUGGUUUAAUUCGAUGAUACGCGAGGAACCUUACCUGGGCUUGAACUGUACCAGACGAUGUCUGAGAGGAUGUUUUCCUUCGGGACUGGUAUAGAGGUGCUGCAUGGCUGUCGUCAGCUCGUGCCGUGAGGUGUCGGGUUAAGUCCCAUAACGAGCGCAACCCUUAUCCUUAGUUGCCAGCGGGUAAUGCCGGGGACUCUAAGGAGACUGCCACCGUAAGGUGUGAGGAAGGUGGGGAUGACGUCAAGUCAGCACGGCCCUUACGUCCAGGGCUACACACGUGUUACAAUGGUCGGUACAAAGGGCAGCUACCUGGUGACAGGAUGCUAAUCUCUAAAACCGAUCUUAGUUCGGAUUGAAGUCUGCAACUCGACUUCAUGAAGUUGGAUUCGCUAGUAACCGUAUAACAGCAAUGAUACGGUGAAUACGUUCCCGGGCCUUGUACACACCGCCCGUCAAGCCAUGGAAGCCGGGGGUACCUGAAGUCCGUAACCGCAAGGAUCGGCCUAGGGUAAAACUGGUAACUGGGGCUAAGUCGAAACAAGGUA